CUGGAGCAACCCACUAAAAGUAAUUCUCUCAACAUGCAAGCUAUACACAUCAGCAAGAAUCUAAUUGGUUCACGUCACCCAGCCUAUCAAUUAUUAUUUUUUAGCAAACAUUUGUGCGGGCGUUCCAUCGCUUCCUUCCCCUUCAUCUCUCUUCUGCAACUGCUUGCGAGUAUCUUAAGCGUCAGCAAUCACUAAACUCUUCCUGGCUCUCCUAGCUACCCAAUUUAUUGUGCAUCCGUUUCCUAUUAAUCAAUCUCCUGAGUAGACCCGUGAAUAACUGCCCUCUAUAUAAAACCUUAGCUUUAGUGUCCAUCUGUUUAGACAUAAUCAAUUAGAAGAUCUCCACGAGAUCGUCAUGGUCGCGUUCAGCCAUCUUCCGUGUGUUUCAUUGCAGAUGUGGUAUAGUGAUGGUAAACUGGUGAUACACUCAUACAUCUUGAUUUCCUGCAACUUCCCGCAGUUCGUCUCUCCCUCCCUGUCAGAGUACUGGGUUUGGACGUUUGGUGCUCCAAGGUGAAACAGGUAUCAGGUUCCGGUAAUUGCGAUUAUAUAUCUUUCCGCCCCUUGAAAAUUGCUUGGUUUCACCAAUGUUUAAUUUCAAGAUUGCAUGAAGAACUUUGGUGGGGUUCCACCGUGGAGUACUAAAUCUUCACGUUACCUUCUCUUAGUUGGUUUGAUUGAUCCCUUGCCACCAUAUUAUCCCCAGCAGAAUCAUCAUAUGCAGGUACAAAUAAAACUAGCAUCGAUUUUACAGCUUUACUCAGCAUGGCUAUCGCUUCACAAUAUCAGCAGAAGUGGAUACGUUGAUCGCUGUAUCAUGAACAAAGAGUUGGAUGUGUUGCAUAUUCUAUCAAUAUAAGGGGUGAUAAACACAUAUAUCUAUGCAGCUAAUUUCCAGAUCUGAGAUGUGUACAUAUGCAGCGACUUAAUAUAUCAAGAUAUACAUGAGGCACAUCUUCCUCUUAUCAGUGUCACUGUGGGGCUUUGCUAUGUUUCAGUGGCCGGUAGCCGUCUAUGUUGAUCCAAAUGAAGGACCUGAACAAGCAGCUAUUCUAUGUUGGCGAAGAGCUACGGAAAUCGAAAAAGGGGAAUGUCAAGGGCCACGCUUCGGAAAUUUCGAGACAAACAAAUAAGCUAAACUGGGGCACCAGGAGGUCAAUGGCUAGGAACAAGGCCCAGUGGCACGCCCACCCACAUAGAGCUUGAUGGAGUGUAACUCACACGUUCGUUGGGAACCCCAAGAGGAAGGUAUGAUGCGCACAGCAGCAAGUUUUCCCUCAGAAAGAAACCAAGGUUUAUCGAACCAGGAGGAGCCAAGAAGCACGUUGAAGGUUGAUGGCGGCGGGAUGUAGUGCGGCGCAACACCAGGGAUUCCGGCGCCAACGUGGAACCUGCACAACACAACCAAAGUACUUUGCCCCAACGAAACAGUGAGGUUGUCAAUCUCACCGGCUUGCUGUAACAAAGGAUUAACCGUAUUGUGUGGAAGAUGAUUGUUUGCAGAAAAACAGUAGAACAGUAUUGCAGUAGAUUGUAUUUUAGUAUAGAGAAUUGGACCGGGGUCCACAGUUCACUAGAGGUGUCUCUCCCAUAAAGAUAAACAGCAUGUUGGGUGAACAAAUUACAGUUGGGCAAUUGACAAAUAAAGAGGGCAUGACCAUGCACAU